CGGGGUGUAGCGCAGCCUGGUAGCGCACUUGCAUGGGGUGCAAGGGGUCGCAGGUUCAAUUCCUGUCACCCCGACCA
rnacentral:tRNA from 1 species